AUGUAAUCAAUGACAUCAUGAACCUAUUCAACCAGGAAGUGUUUGGCCCGCCUCUCCCAUUGACCUGCUCUGGAUUUAGGAUCAGUACAAAAGGACAAUGAGACAUCAGAGAGGCUGACUGAUUUGAGAUGUUCUGCUUUUCGGAUUUGCAUCUUUUUUUAAAACCUCGCCCAGCUGGACAAUUCCCAGCGAUUCCAGACUCUUCGGAUACAGAGCGCUGAGCAAAUUAGCUUGCUGCCUGUCAUUCCACCUAUCAGAGAGAAACAGAGGAAGAAUCUUCAAAUGCUUCGGAGGGGUAAACUGCGCUGCAAAAAAUUCCUGUGAGGGAAUGACUGUCAACGGCCUGUCAAGUUCAAAGGAAUCAUCAGACCGGGACAUUACCUCUAUAGUCCUGAAGCAGUAAACAAUGCAGUCAAGACUUUUCAUGCACAUUAGCAAAGCCCCUAAUGAUAAUGUGAUCUGUGUGGAAACAUGAAUAAGCAUGAACAUGUCAUAUUGCUUCAAAAGUGUUAGUCAUUUGAAGUUAUUUAUGAAAAUCAAUUGAGAAAUUGACCCUAGGGUAUAUGCAAAUCCUUGUUCUGAGAGAACUGCAUUUAAGAUGGCAUAAUUGUGGUGUAAUUUGGGAAAUGUAAGUUUGAAUUUAUCUACAUUUUUUUAUUUUGCUCUGGGCCACAUGCAUUUCAUUUUUGAAAAGGAUGAUGUUGGGAGUUUGUGUAAAGGCCUGUGGGUUUUUGUGGAUGUAUAGAAAAUGCUUGUAGAAGAAAAAGAUGGAUUUGCUUAAUAAUACCACAUUCCUACCUAACCUAAAGCAAAAAGAAACAUAAUCUUCUACCAAACUCUAAAUUUCUCUGCUUUGUGAACCAGGCUGAAUUCAGUUUAAUAUCAAAAAUAAUUUUAUAUUCUAGUUGCAUUUAAGUGUGUCAUUGAUAUUUCAUCAACCAUGCUUUUAAAUGAUUAUUGACUUUUCUUAGAUUUAGAGGUGAAAUCAAAAGACUGUGAUAUCAGAGUGAAGCUAUUAAGGAACUGAUGAGUGUUUCAUGUCAAUGGUAAUUUAAAAAUAUAUUCUAAUGGUUUAAAAUAGGAAAAUUACGUGAUUAGCCAUUAUUUUUUUAAUGGCUAAUUA